rnacentral:rRNA from 1 species
GACGAAGGAUGCAAGCGUUAUCCGGAUUCAUUGGGUUUAAAGGGAGCGUAGGUGGUCUUCUAAGUCAGUGGUGAAAUCUCUCGGCUUAACCGAGAAAUUGCCAUUGAUACUGGGAGACUUGAGUAUAGUUGCCGUUGGCGGAAUAUGACAUGUAGUGGUGAAAUACAUAGAGAUGUCAUAGAACACCGAUUGCGAAGGCAGCUAACGAAACUAUAACUGACACUGAGGCUCGAAAGUGCGGGGAUCAAAC